GCUUUGGGUUUUGGGAGCUAGACGAGCCAUGAGAGCUACUGCUGCAUUGCCUGCAUUGUUCUCCUCAAUGAAACUAAUGGUGGAGUUUAUCACCAGCAAUGUAAUAAUCACAACAAAGUCCUGCCAAU